rnacentral:rRNA from 1 species
GAUGAACGCUGGCGGCGUGCUUAACACAUGCAAGUCGAACGGUGAAGCAGAGCUUGCUCUGUGGAUCAGUGGCGAACGGGUGAGUAACACGUGAGCAACCUGCCCCUGACUCUGGGAUAAGCGCUGGAAACGGCGUCUAAUACUGGUUAUGAGCUGCGACCGCAUGGUCAGCAGUUGGAAAGAUUUUUCGGUCUGGGAUGGGCUCACGGCCUAUCAGCUUGUUGGUGAGGUAAUGGCUCACCAAGGCGUCGACGGGUAGCCGGCCUGAGAGGGUGACCGGCCACACUGGGACUGAGACACGGCCCAGACUCCUACGGGAGGCAGCAGUGGGGAAUAUUGCACAAUGGGCGAAAGCCUGAUGCAGCAACGCCGCGUGAGGGAUGACGGCCUUCGGGUUGUAAACCUCUUUUAGCAGGGAAGAAGCGAAAGUGACGGUACCUGCAGAAAAAGCGCCGGCUAACUACGUG